UAGGGAAUCUUCGGCAAUGGGGGGAACCCUGACCGAGCAACGCCGCGUGAGUGAAGAAGGUUUUCGGAUCGUAAAGCUCUGUUUUUAAGGAAGAACGAGUGUGAGAAUGGAAAGUUCAUACUGUGACGGUACUUAACCAGAAAGGGACGGCUAACUACGUGCCAGCAGCCGCGGUAAUACGUAGGUCCCGAGCGUUGUCCGGAUUUAUUGGGCGUAAAGCGAGCGCAGGCGGUUAGAUAAGUCUGAAGUUAAAGGCAGUGGCUCAACCAUUGUAGGCUUUGGAAACUGUUUAACUUGAGUGCAGAAGGGGAGAGUGGAAUUCAAUGUGUAGCGGUGAAAUGCGUAGAUAUAUGGAGGAACACCGGUAGCGAAAGCGGCUCUCUGGUCUGUAACUGACGCUGAGGCUCGAAAGCGUGGGGAGCGAACAGG
rnacentral:rRNA from 1 species